rnacentral:rRNA from 1 species
UACGUAGGGUGCAAGCGUUAUCCGGAUUUAUUGGGCGUAAAGGGCUCGUAGGCGGUUCGUCGCGUCCGGUGUGAAAGUCCAUCGCUUAACGGUGGAUCCGCGCCGGGUACGGGCGGGCUUGAGUGCGGUUGGGGAGACUGGAAUUCCCGGUGUAACGGUGGAAUGUGUAGAUAUCGGGAAGAACACCAAUGGCGAAGGCAGGUCUCUGGGCCGUUACUGACGCUGAGGAGCGAAAGCGUGGGGAGCGAACAGG